UACGUAGGGUGCAAGCGUUGUCCGGAAUUAUUGGGCGUAGAGAGCUCGUAGGCGGUCUGUCGCGUCUGCUGUGAAAAUCCAGGGCUCAACCCUGGACCUGCAGUGGGUACGGGCAGACUAGAGUGCGGUAGGGGAGAUCGGAAUUCCUGGUGUAGCGGUGAAAUGCGCAGAUAUCAGGAGGAACACCGGUGGCGAAGGCGGAUCUCUGGGCCGUAACUGACGCUGAGGAGCGAAAGCAUGGGGAGCGAACAGG
rnacentral:rRNA from 1 species